UCUCAGGAGGUGGCAGUGCCAUGGCAGUUUGAAGGCUUCCGAAGGUGCCAUCCAUUUGCGAAACCCCCAGGGGAGAGCACAGCAUGUGGCUGCUGUGGCCCAGCAAUUCUCUUCUGACUUAAACCAGCUGGAUUCAUUUUUAUUUUAAUUUUUAUUAUUUCAGGGCAGGGCGGUGGUCACGUUCAGCCUUCAGGGAGGCCCGAGUUGUGCUCGGCAGCCUGCAAUACUGGAGAGCUGCCUCUGGAGGGCGCACGGGAGUCUCGUUGCCGCGCUGGGGCGCGCAGUCCCUAGAGUGCGCCAGGGUCGUC
rnacentral:lncRNA from 1 species